rnacentral:rRNA from 1 species
UGAGUUUGAUUCUGGCUCAGGAUGAACGCUGGCGGCGUGCUUAACACAUGCAAGUCGAACGAACCUUCGGGUUAGUGGCGGACGGGUGAGUAACGCGUGAGAAUCUGCCCUCAGGAGGGGGAUAACGGUUGGAAACGACCGCUAAUACCCCAUAUGCCUACUGGUGAAAUGAAUUUCGCCUGAGGAUGAGCUCGCGUCUGAUUAGCUAGUUGGUGAGGUAAUGGCUCACCAAGGCUUCGAUCAGUAGCUGGUCUGAGAGGAUGAUCAGCCACACUGGGACUGAGACACGGCCCAGACUCCUACGGGAGGCAGCAGUGGGGAAUUUUCCGCAAUGGGCGAAAGCCUGACGGAGCAACGCCGCGUGAGGGACGAAGGCCUCUGGGCUGUAAACCUCUUUUCUCAAGGAAGAAGAUAUGACGGUACUUGAGGAAUAAGCCACGGCUAAUUCCGUGCCAGCAGCCGCGGUAAUACGGGAGUGGCAAGCGUUAUCCGGAAUUAUUGGGCGUAAAGCGUCCGCAGGCGGCUUUUCAAGUCUGCUGUUAAAGCGUGGAGCUUAACUCCAUCAUGGCAGUGGAAACUGAAAGGCUUGAGUAUGGUAGGGGC